GACGAACGCUGGCGGUGUGCUUAAUACAUGCAAGUCGAACGAUGAGGCCCUUCGGGGUACAUCAGUGGCGGACGGCUGAGUAACGCGUAGAUAACGUGCCCUGGACUUGGGGAUAACACCGGGAAACCGGUGCUAAUACCGCAUAAGCCUGUGGUUGAAAUACCAUUGAUUACAGAAUUUCGGUUCAGGAUCGGUCUGCGUCUGAUUAGCUUGUUGGUGAGGUAAAGGCUCACCAAGGCAAUGAUCAGUGGUUGGUCUGGGAGGAUGACCAGCCAGAGUGGGACUGAGACACGGCCCACACUUCUACGGAAGGCAGCAGUAGGGAAUUUUGCGCAAUGGGCGAAAGCCUGACGCAGCAACACCGCGUGCGGGAUGACGGUCUUCGGAUUGUAAACCGCUGUCAGCAGGGAAUAAUAAUGACUGUACCUGCAAAGGAAGCAUCGGCUAACUACGUGCCAGCAGCCGCCGUAA
rnacentral:rRNA from 1 species